AUAUUUUACCCCAGUUAAAAAUAGCUCCUCACACAAGGGCUGAAAACAGGCUCCUUCUCUGAGCACUUCCUCGCGCGGGUUCUCAGCCUCCCCCUGAAUCAUCGUCCCUGAGCCGCUUCACCGCCACCUCAUGGAGAGGCAAGCCAAGGCCUCCCACGCUUCCUCUGGGGACGCUGUCAGCCAGUGCCUGUCCCGUUGCUGUCCAGCCAGCCCGAAUCAGGUCUUAAUAUGCAGCCAGAUGGUGUUGCUGCCCCUUCCAGAACCACCGCCUGCUGUUCCUCCAGCAAAGAGGAAGGAGCACACCUUUUGUCCCGGUACCAGGAAGCCAGCAGUCCCUUCUGUGGCUCGAUUUUAGCAGAGCCUCUCCGCCACUCGGAAUAGUUCCUGAGUCUUCUCCUCUACCCGGUGCUCCAGGCAGAGUUUUGACCUGUCAGGAAAUGGUGUUUGAGGUGUGCUGAGGAAGCAGAGGAGGAGGCGAGGAUGGAAAAUCCAAACAUCUGGGCAGCCCGGGUGGCUCAGCGGUUUAGAGCCGCCUCCAGCCCAGGGUGUGAUCCUGGGGACCCGGGAUCGAGUCCCGUGUCAGGCUCCCUGCAUGGAGCCUGCUCCUCCCUCUGCCUGUGUCUUUGCCUCUCUCUCUCUCUGUGUCUCUCAUGAAUAAAUAAAUAAAAUAAUAAUAAAAAAGAAGAAAAUCCAAACAUCUUUCCAAAAUCGCUGUGGACAGGCAAUUUAUGUUUUCGCAUCAGUCUGGCUUUCAAACAACCAGAGCCACUCGUCCGAUGAGUUCCUGGCAUUCUCAUAAGCCAUACCAUCAUGCCUCCAUCUGGGAAUCAGACAGAGUUGUGACAACCUGUAGAACCAUCCAGCUGAGUCAGGUGACAGGUUCCUGAGCCGGCUGGACAGGCUGUGGCAUCACCCACACUGAAGAUAAUAACACCACGAAGAAAGUUCUCUCCAUUCUGGAAACCUAAAGGAAUGUGUGCAAGUCCCUGCCACCCCACCCCCUGGCCAUCAUUCAGCCACAUACAUACUCCUUGUCUUCAGUACGACUUCCACGUUGGUGCUACUUCAAGAGCUCUGAGGCUGCAGAAGCUGGAGAUGACUGCUUCUCCCUCCCAGAUCCUGGGCUCCUGCUUAUACCCGGAGACAGGAAGAAGGAUCUGUGUGGGCUUCCAUGCUUUUCCUGAAGCACCAUUCCUGCCCAGCCAGGACCAAGGAGGUUUGCUUGCCCUCCCGCCCGCCCCAUCCCCCUUCCUUCUUGUGAGCUCGGUGUGGUCCAGGGCAAAGGAAGCGUAGGUGGCUGUGUAUUUGCUUCCUGUCUGCACCUCCUAUGGGGGCUGUACCUUCCCCGCACUUGGCCUUUAGCAAUCUGUUCAGAAGUGGUGUAGUUGGACUCCUCUUUCCCGCUGUGUGGUGCCCAACAUCUGCAACAGGUAAGCAAGUCCCUGUGUCCUGGCUCUCCUCCGAGGCAUGGGUUUUCCGAAAGGUUUCAGCUAAGUGUAGUUCAAGGAAAGAUGAUCAUCUUGUAGAUUAUUUGGCCUUGCUUUUGAUAAGGGUGAGAGAGCGAUGCUCUUUGCAGAAUUCUAACCCUAAGCAAAAGCCAGCCAUCCUACAGCCUUUUGAGAUUAAAAGUCCAGAAGCUUAAUUAUGUUGGGAGGUUUUUUUUUUUUUUUUUUGAGUUAUGUUGGGAGAUUUUUUUUUAAAGAUUUUAUUUAUUUAUCCAUAGUCACACAGAGAGAGAGAGGGGCAGAGGCACAGGCAGAGGGAGAAGCAGGCUCCACGCAGGGAGCCCGACGUGGGACUCAAUCCCGGGUCUCCAGGAUCACACCCCAGGCUGCAGGCGGCACCAAACCGCUGCGCUACUGGGGCUGCCCAGAUCUUUAAAAAUGGGAUGGAUGUCUUGAUGUUUUGGGUUCUUGGAGAGUAUAAAUCACUCUCUGAGUAAAGCAACAAACCAGUACAGGUCUUAGUUUCUUAUCUCAUGCAACUGUUUUCGUUUUGUUCUUUGUCCUUGUACAUAUUUUUAAGUUCUGAAUAGGAUAUACUACCACAGGGGUCACUGUUCAUUAGCAGACAAUAAAAGGUCUCCUUCCCUUCCCUAUCCAACCCCCCACCCAGUUCUCCCUACAGGAAGUCAGUGUUACAACUUGCCUCUUAUCCUUUCAGGAGUAUUUUAUGCGACCACAGGAGAACGACUCUAUUCUUUCCCUGCUCACGGUUACACAAGUGACAGCACACUUUGCAUACUGCUCUGUUGCUUUGCUGUUUUCACCUGGCAAGACAUGUUUUGGAGGCCUUUUCCUGAUCGCCAGAAAGAGGUUCCUCACGUUAGUGGCUCUGGGGUCCACACCUCCAGAGGUAGGGAAGAGACAAGGGCCGGCGUCAUCACCGAGGGGUGGGGGUGCCAGGUAGGCCCUCCAGGUUAACCACAGCUAACUGGUUCUGAUUGUUGGGCUCCAGGCUCUCCUUUAAGUUCAUUACAAUAAACUACCUUAGUAAGUCCUCAUAAGCAUCCCUGUGAGGCAGGACUAUUUUCAGCCCCAUGCAAGAGAGGAGAAAACCGAGGCCCUCACUUUAAGUAAGAUCAUCUCCCUGAGAGUGGCUCAGCGUGGAGACGGGGGGCUGGCUUCGAUGCUUCGAUGCUGCUGCCCAGCUGCCCUGCCCAGAUACCACAGGCCCACACCUGAGGCUUCUCCUCAGCCUGCUGUCCACAGGAGGGAGGACGAAGGUAGACUCUGCGUGGGACAAGCUGGUGAUCCCAGGCACACUCUGGCCCAGACCCUCUGGCCGCCAGGCCCUGGUGGGCCACAGGUCUGCACAUGUGCCUUCCCAGGGACAUUUGGGGAUGAAGGGAUUAGAGGCCACGGAGCACAAAUGUAAUUGCUAAAGGAGUUCAGUCAAAGGAGGAUUAGCUGGGGAUUUGGAGGAAGUUUCCCACAAAUCACUGAGGCUGCCAGUGGCAAAGAUUACUUGGGG
rnacentral:lncRNA from 1 species